GAGUUUGAUCAUGGCUCAGAUUGAACGCUGGCGGCAGGCCUAACACAUGCAAGUCGAGCGGUAGAGAGAAGCUUGCUUCUCUUGAGAGCGGCGGACGGGUGAGUAAUGCCUAGGAAUCUGCCUGGUAGUGGGGGAUAACGUUCGGAAACGGACGCUAAUACCGCAUACGUCCUACGGGAGAAAGCAGGGGACCUUCGGGCCUUGCGCUAUCAGAUGAGCCUAGGUCGGAUUAGCUAGUUGGUGGGGUAAUGGCUCACCAAGGCGACGAUCCGUAACUGGUCUGAGAGGAUGAUCAGUCACACUGGAACUGAGACACGGUCCAGACUCCUACGGGAGCCAGCAGUGGGGAAUAUUGGACAAUGGGCGAAAGCCUGAUCCAGCCAUGCCGCGUGUGUGAAGAAGGUCUUCGGAUUGUAAAGCACUUUAAGUUGGGAGGAAGGGCAGUAAAUUAAUACUUUGCUGUUUUGACGUUACCGACAGAAUAAGCACCGGCUAACUCUGUGCCAGCAGCCGCGGUAAUACAGAGGGUGCAAGCGUUAAUCGGAAUUACUGGGCGUAAAGCGCGCGUAGGUGGUUCGUUAAGUUGGAUGUGAAAUCCCCGGGCUCAACCUGGGAACUGCAUUCAAAACUGACGAGCUAGAGUAUGGUAGAGGGGUGGUGGAAUUUC
rnacentral:rRNA from 1 species